ACAUCAGCAAGACCUUGCAGUUAGAUUGAAAAAAUCUUCUAUUUUAGUCUUCAACAACUCCAGAGAGCUGUUUUAUCUGGUUUUCUAUCAUAGUAAGUGUAGACAACAUUACUUCUACAAAUAUCCACAGUGUGCUGAAAGCCUGUCAUUUCAUUUUGUAGCCAGAAAAAAACUGAAUAUUAAAAAAAUGCAAAUAUAACAUGCUGCCUUGUAUUUUCACCUUUACCCCCUUUCAAAGUACAGACUAUUCAUAAUAAAAAAUUUGGAAUACUGCAAUAGAAGCAAUGUUAAGAUUUUCAAAAACAAAAUUAAGAAAACAUGAAGGAGAGGGUGGCACAUGAUCUUUCUUCUGCCAAAUGGGUUUCUAUUCCAAACAGAUCAGGACGUGGAUGAAUGUUUCCAUGGAAGAUAAUUGGACUUGAAGUCACUUUGAAGCAGCAGAACUAAUGGACUCUAGUGAGGUCAAAUGAAGUUAAGUGAAGCAGAGAGCCUGGCCCACAGCUUUACCACUGUGAAAUAUUGUCUGUGUCAGAAAGUUCAGCUUCCUGACGAUACCACACCUUCAGUGGGAUGCUGAACCCAGCACUGGAGACUGGGCUGCUGCUCCUUCCAGAGCAGAUGCCAGAACCUCAUCCUUUAGAAAACCAUCUUUCAUUGUUGACACAAAACUCUUGAGAAGAUAAAGGAAAGCCUAACAGACACCCACCUAAAUCUGGAGACAACCUUCAAGAGGAGUCAGCUCUGAGAUCCUCCCGUGUGGCAGCUGGACAAAGCCACCCCCAUAGUACAGAAGACAGCACCCUCAAAAACACAAAGCAACUUUUGCCAGGAAAGGUUGGACCAGAUGAUCCUUGAAAUCUCUUCUAAACUGGCAUUCUAGGAAUUCCAUUGUACUUGUGUGGAAAUGGGUUCAUUAGAAAAAGAGAAAUUUGUCUUUUGAGUGGGUAUCUAGUAGGUGGUCUCCCAAAACAAUGCUCAGAAAGGUACUUAGAGCUGACCCAAAGAGGUAUGAGUGACCCUGUCCUCUACCCACCCCAACAGUGGAAGGGAAGAUCCUUCUCCUUCCAAGGACUCUGGGUCCUGUUUGUGGCAUUCACAUUCUCUGAACAGAGAGAGACAUAAAUCUCUCUCUGAGGGUUUCUUCCUGGAAAAGCACAGAGAGAAGAAGAGAAAACAGUUCUUAUCUCUACUUGCUGCUGCUGCUCCUGUUGUCUUUGCACAUGUGGAAUGUGUUAGGAAGAAUGUUUACCUGAAGGGAUUUGUCAAUUGGAUUCUGCUGAGGAUUGUUUUGUUUCCUUAGCCAAUCACUUGAAGCUGUGUCCUGACUGUCGGGAGACAGUCAUGAGUUUUUCUUUAGUAUUCUUUAGUAUUCUUUGUCAUAUAGUUACAGUAUAGCAUUAAUGUACAUAGUACAUAGUAUAGUUUAAUAAAGCAAUUGUUCAACAUCUGAA